GAUGAACGCUGGCGGCGUGCCUAAUACAUGCAAGUCGAGCGAACGGACGCGAAGCUUGCUUUUCUGAUGUUAGCGGCGGACGGGUGAGUAACACGUGGAUAACCUACCUAUAAGACUGGGAUAACUUCGGGAAACCGGAGCUAAUACCGGAUAAUAUUUUGAACCGCAUGGUUCAAAAGUGAAAGACGGUCUUGCUGUCACUUAUAGAUGGAUCCGCGCUGCAUUAGCUAGUUGGUAAGGUAACGGCUUACCAAGGCAACGAGGCAUAGCCGACCUGAGAGGGUGAUCGCCCACACUGGAACUGAGACGCGGUCCAGGCUCCUGCGGGAGGCAGCAGUAGGGAAUCGGACGCAGUGGGCGAAAGCCUGACGGAGCAACGCCGCGUGAGAGAUGGAGGUCUUCGGAUCGUAAAACUCUGUUAUUAGGGGAGAACCGAUGUGUAAGUAGCUGUGCACAUCUUGACGGUAACUGAUCAGAAAGCCCCGGCUAACUACGUG
rnacentral:rRNA from 1 species